rnacentral:rRNA from 1 species
AGAGUUUGAUCCUGGCUCAGAUUGAACGCUGGCGGCAUGCCUUACACAUGCAAGUCGAACGGUAACAGGUCUUCGGAUGCUGACGAGUGGCGAACGGGUGAGUAAUACAUCGGAACGUGCCCGAUCGUGGGGGAUAACGCAGCGAAAGCUGUGCUAAUACCGCAUACGAUCUACGGAUGAAAGCGGGGGAUCGCAAGACCUCGCGCGGACGGAGCGGCCGAUGGCAGAUUAGGUAGUUGGUGGGAUAAAAGCUUACCAAGCCGACGAUCUGUAGCUGGUCUGAGAGGACGACCAGCCACACUGGGACUGAGACACGGCCCAGACUCCUACGGGAGGCAGCAGUGGGGAAUUUUGGACAAUGGGCGAAAGCCUGAUCCAGCCAUGCCGCGUGCAGGAUGAAGGCCUUCGGGUUGUAAACUGCUUUUGUACGGAACGAAAAAGUUCUCUCUAAUACAGGGGGCGAAUGACGGUACCGUAAGAAUAAGCACCGGCUAACUACGUGCCAGCAGCCGCGGUAAUACGUAGGGUGCAAGCGUUAAUCGGAAUUACUGGGCGUAAAAGCGUGCGCAGGCGGUUAUAUAAGACAGAUGUGAAAUCCCCGGGCUCAACCUGGGAACUGCAUUAGUGACUGUAUAGCUAGAGUGCGGCANAAGGGGAUGGAAUUUCCGCGUGUAGCAGUGAAAUGCGUAGAUAUGCGGAGGAACCCGAUGGCGAAGGCAAUCCCCUAGGCCU